rnacentral:rRNA from 1 species
UGGUGGGUAGUUUGACUGGGGCGGUCUCCUCCUAAAGAGUAACGGAGGAGCACGAAGGUUGGCUAAUCCUGGUCGGACAUCAGGAGGUUAGUGCAAUGGCAUAAGCCAGCUUGACUGCGAGCGUGACGGCGCGAGCAGGUGCGAAAGCAGGUCAUAGUGAUCCGGUGGUUCUGAAUGGAAGGGCCAUCGCUCAACGGAUAAAAGGUACUCCGGGGAUAACAGGCUGAUACCGCCCAAGAGUUCAUAUCGACGGCGGUGUUUGGCACCUCGAUGUCGGCUCAUCACAUCCUGGGGCUGAAGUAGGUCCCAAGGGUAUGGCUGUUCGCCAUUUAAAGUGGUACGCGAGCUGGGUUUAGAACGUCGUGAGACAGUUCGGUCCCUAUCUGCCGUGGGCGCUGGAGAACUGAGGGGGGCUGCUCCUAGUACGAGAGGACCGGAGUGGACGCAUCACUGGUGUUCGGGUUGUCAUGCCAAUGGCACUGCCCGGUAGCUAAAUGCGGAAGAGAUAAGUGCUGAAAGCAUCUAAGCACGAAACUUGCCCCGAGAUGAGUUCUCCCUGACUCCUUGAGAGUCCUGAAGGAACGUUGAAGACGACGACGUUGAUAGGCCGGGUGUGUAAGCGCAGCGAUGCGUUGAGCUAACCGGUACUAAUGAACC